AGACACCCUUCUGGGGCAAGACUUGCUUCAGUGAGGCUUUGGUGCUCACUGAGUCUGCCCCCCUGAGUGUGUUCCU
rnacentral:pre_miRNA from 1 species